ensembl:lncRNA
GUCACUUCUUUCUGAAAGGAACAUUUCUUAUUGAGAGUGAUACUGGAUGUUGCAGGUAACAUUGAACAAAAAUAUUUCCCUGGUUACUUUUGCCUGCACUUUUAUCUGUGGCUAGCUUCACUGUUUUUGUUUAAGUCAGUUCCCUCUUUUGUGUGCAUCUGUCACAUAGCAGGAAAGACAUGUUUCUGUAAAUAAGCUUCACAAGUCAUUUAGGAGAUGUGUAGGAAAAUACAGAACUGCUUUUAAGUGACUUUUGAAAGUUGGCUAGAUUUUAAGCUGACUCUGCCCUUUCAACAGAUGCUGUGAACAGUGACUGCUCUUUAUUGCCUCAGCACACCAUCUUGGGAUAACACAUCGGCCAGUCUGAUGGAAUAUUUUAUGUAGAGUUACUACUUCCUGUGAGUCAGUGCUGUAAAAGGCAAUUGCGUCUGCAAAGAACACAGCAUCCUUCAUGUCCCUUGCUGCCCUCAUGACUGAAAAUGAUGCAUUUAGGUCUACUCACCAAAUACCAGAGCUCAAGAAAGAACAGAGAAGACACCCAAAUUCAGGACCAUUGAAGAAGCUAAUAAAUCAACUGAUUAAAGAAGUCAAUGGAAAGAAGAGUGCCAGUGCUGUCAUGAAGGCAGUAGCUAGCACUGGUCGCCUCGUCUUUGUAGCACUGACUAGGAGGAAGCUAUGCUUAUUGCUCACCUUGGUAUUAGUAGCUCCAGGUCUUAGCCUCUACUCAGAUGAAAUGAGUAACUAAGCUCCCAAACAGUCAUAUUUUACUACCAAGAAGAUGAUUUAUUCACUUUCAGGAGUAGUUUUUCUCUUUUAUGUUCUCAUCAGACUGCUUUGCAUGUUCUGUGUGGUUUCACUGGUCACCACUCAUCAAGGAGUACUUGUUAUGUGUUACACUCCCCCAUCCAUGUUUGAAUUAGAUAGCUGUUUGAUCAUAAUUAAAAAGCAAACUACUUUGGAAAUCUACAGCUAAGAAAAGCAUCCAGUUUCCACAGACAGUUCGUAUUUCAUAGGCCUGAGUCUGUUGGGUGGACGGUCCAAGGCUUCCAUGCCCUGGGAACUCUAAUUUUGGAUUGCGUGUUUUUAAGAAUCGUCUUUAACAUUGGAUCUUUGGAUGUCUCACCUGCCUGGCAACUCCCACUGAGACAGGAGACUCCAAAGUACAACUGUUGUGAGAUGACUCCUCAGUUGAUUUUUACAUUCUCCUAUAAGGAGUCUCGUGUCUUCAUGCAUGCGCUCAGCACAGCAUUUGCUGGUCUACAUGCAACUACACUUGACCAUCGUUCCACCCUUUUUCACAGGCAUCUGAAGAAACAACUUUUGGUCUGUGUCUGUGGGGAAUGGAGGCAAAAUCUUCUCCGUCCUCCUCUCCCCAGUUUGGGUUUCUGUCUUUGCACAGGAAGUUUCUCUUCAGAAGCAGCCCAAGUCUUUUAAAGACUUCUGAUGAGGUUUUCCUGGGAGACAGACCAGGCUUAUGUCAAAGUACAGUGAUAACAGUUGAUUGUUAGUAGCAGCAAUCUAAUUGCUCCACCAGGCAGAAAGCAUUCCUGGUUGAGGUACUCUUGAAGGCAGUUUCAACUCCAUAGAUAUCAUCUCGUUUCUACUACAAAAUGGAGCAUGUAACCUGCACUUAAAUUACAAUGAAAUCCUAUCCACGAACUGGCAGCCAUUCCCCUGACUCUCAUACCUUGCUUUUAACAUAUGGGUUGACUGACACAAUCAGAUCAAAUGGUUUUCCAGACUUCUUGCUGCAUCCACUGGGCAUCGUUUCUCAUUUAAUAUUCCUGCAGUGAUGCUGUAUCUCCAAUGAUAGUUCAGAUUUUCAUCUGGUGUAAAUUAUCAUAGUUCUAGUCAACUUCAAUGGAUUUGAUAAUUUAUACCAUCUGAGGUUCUGCAUCUGAAAACCAUAUAAUAAAAAGCAGAUGCUAUUUUAACUAAUCUGAAAA